UCAUCCGGCAACCACCACCCCCACAAUGUCGCUGCCACACUGGAGAUGGAUUGGUGAUGAGCAAUAGAGAAUGGUGAAGGAUAUACAUGUGGUAAUGUUUAAAAAGGAAAUAUUCAUGAUUGAAUGGUGAACCCCAAUAAUCCCUCAAAUCUGGUAACUUUUCAUGUGCCAAAACACAACAAUUGAAUCUAUGUGAUAAUCUUUAAAUAUAUGCUAUUAUUCAUGUGCCAAACAAAACUAAAUCUAAUUUGUUACAGACCAAACUUAAUAAAUGAAGUACAGGUAUCUUUGCACGAUGUACAAGGAAGAACAUUCAAGAACAUUCUUCAUGAAUCUUGAACCCCAAUAACCCCCUCGAUCUUGAUGUUCUAGUGGAUGCAAUAGAUACCUCAAAAUCUCAGCAGAUUCGAAGUAAGAUCUGGUGGAUCUGAUGGUGGUGGGGGUGGUGCGAUGGUUUGAGAAAGAAAGGGUAGGGUAGGUGAUGGGAAUAUAGCAGUGGUUUAGGCGGUGGCGAUGGCGGUGGCAACAUUGUGACGGUGGUCGGUGGUUGCCCGAGUGCCUCGCUGACGCCAGAGAGUUGUUCGGCCUCAGAACCUACCGGUGGUGGUGGUGAGAGAGGAGGGAGACAAUGGUGGUGUUGUAAUGGUUGACAGUGGUGAUAGGAUCCUGUGAUUUAAAUUGAACUAGAAGAGAAGUCAAGGAGAAGAGGAAAGUGAGGUGAAGAGAAAAAGUGU
rnacentral:lncRNA from 1 species